rnacentral:rRNA from 1 species
AAUCAACGCUGGCGGCGCGCUUAACACAUGCAAGUCGAACGAGAAAGUGGAGCAAUCCAUGAGUAAAGUGGCGUACGGGUGAGUAACACGUGGAUGAUCUACCUCUUAGUGGGGAAUAACUCCGGGAAACUGGAGAUAAUACCGCAUAAGCCUGGGAAGGGAAAGAAGCAAUUCGCUGAGAGAGGAGUCCGCGGCCGAUUAGCUAGUUGGCAGGGUAAAAGCCUACCAAGGCGAUGAUCGGUAGCCGGCCUGAGAGGGCACACGGCCACACUGGCAC